UACGGAGGGAGCUAGCGUUGUUCGGAAAUACUGGGCGUAAAGCGCACGUAGGCGGCUUUGCAAGUUAGAGGUGAAAGCCCGGGGCUCAACUCCGGAAUUGCCUUUAAAACUGCAUCGCUAGAAUUGUGGAGAGGUAAGUGGAAUUCCGAGUGUAGAGGUGAAAUUCGUAGAUAUUCGGAAGAACACCAGUGGCGAAGGCGACUUACUGGACACAUAUUGACGCUGAGGUGCGAAAGCGUGGGGAGCAAACAGG
rnacentral:rRNA from 1 species